rnacentral:rRNA from 2 species
UACGGAGGAUCCAAGCGUUAUCCGGAUUUAUUGGGUUUAAAGGGUGCGUAGGCGGCCUAUUAAGUCAGAGGUGAAAGACGGUAGCUCAACUAUCGCAGUGCCUUUGAUACUGAUGGGCUUGAAUGAACUAGAGGUAGGCGGAAUGAGACAAGUAGCGGUGAAAUGCAUAGAUAUGUCUCAGAACACCGAUUGCGAAGGCAGCUUACUAUGGUUUUAUUGACGCUGAGGCACGAAAGCGUGGGGAUCAAACAGG